rnacentral:rRNA from 1 species
CCUACGGGAGGCAGCAGUAGGGAAUAUUGCUCAAUGGGGGAAACCCUGAAGCAGCAACGCCGCGUGGAGGAUGAAGGUUUUCGGAUUUUAAACUCCUUUUGUGAGAGAAGAUAAUGACGGUAUCUAACGAAUAAGCACCGACUAACUCCGUACCAGCCGCCGCGGUAAUACGGAGGGUGCAGGCGUUACUCGGAAUCACUGGGCGUAACGAGCGGUUAGGCGGGAUAGCAAGUCAGACGUGAAAUCCUAUGGCUUAAGCAUAGAACUGCAUUUGAACCUGUUAUUCUAGAGUAUGGGAGAGGUAGGUGGAAUGCGUGGUGUAGGGGUAAAAUCCGUAGAGAUCAAGAGGAACACUGAUUGCGAAGGCGACCUGCUAGAACAUAACUGACGCUGAUGCGCGAAAGCGUGGGGAGCAAACAGGAUUAGAUACCCUUGUAGUC